AGCGAGUCCAGUCCGUGGCUGCUGACUCUUUACAGCACUCUACUUGGAGUCUGUAAGCCGCCCGGACUUUCAGCCGGACUGACAAGUGGAGUAUCUGUGUCAGUGUACGUUACUCAUCCGUCGUUGGGUCAGGGUCUGCGGGAUGGACCCCCGCAAUGUACAGUGAAACAGCUGCCUCGUUCACCCCUGCAAGAGAAGAGAGGUUUAUUUGGUGGAGAAAUUGAACUAGAGGCUCCAUACUGAAGGACACCCAAAGCAUAGCAGGAGAGCAAGAGAGGCUGGCACUAAAAUAGAGCUAUCCACUUAUUCCAGUUCAGUGUUGAAGAUGGCUGGAGCCCAUCCCAGUAGCUCAGGGCAGAAGGCAGGAACCAACCCUGGAGACCAUCAAGCUUCAGAUGAUCAGGCAACAAAGGCUCCAGCCAGUUGCAGGUGAAGACAGCACCCCUGGCCUUCAAGGAGCUACCCUGCCUUCUCUAGACAGAGCAGGACGAGAGUUCCAUGAUCCCCAUCAGAAGCCGUAGGGGAUUGUUCUCCAGUCUUGACUUUGAGAACUUGGUAGAGCUCCUGAAGGCUCACCUGAUAAGAGAUGUAUGUCACAAUCUGCUCACCCUGGCAUUUCUCUAAAUAGAAGGUAGCAAGAAACAGGCCUCUGAAAUUUAAGAACCACAAAACAAUAAAAGAAGUAAACUCUUUUGUUGAAAAGCUCCAAUUCCCCUGUAAACGUCUCAUUCAGAGUCUAAUUGUAACCCAAUUAAGAAAAUUAAGAUGAGUAGAAACAGCUGGAACAGAAGGCACUUGGGGUGAAGUGUACCCUCUGCAGUCAUUAUUUGAUGGAGAUCAUUACCCAACUCUACACACAGCACAUGAUAUUUAAUAUGAUUGGACUAAUUUAUAUCUGAAAAGAAUAAAAGUAUGUUAUGUAAAUAAAUCGAGUGACCUAUUAGCUCAAAUUCUUAAACACUCAGUUAUCCAACGUUGCAAGUACAGUCAUGUGAUAAACCUUCAAAAUGCGGUUAGUCCUCUUUCUGUAUCUGUCCACAGCAUUACCUUUUUUCCUUUUGGUCAUGGCAAUAUAUUCAUCUCAUGAGUGUUACAGCCAGAGAUGCACCAGUAACAACAUUGUGAUGUCCCAUGUUUAAUUUUAUGUGUGGUGAGUGUUAAAGGGAGAAUAAAGCCUUAAUUUGAAUUUAAAACUGGUAAUUAC
rnacentral:lncRNA from 10 species